GAAUUGCUGUCGCUGCAGUGACUUGGGCGCUGAGGGGAGCCCGCACUCCUUGCAAGAUCUCCGAGCCCCGGCGGCUGCUACUGGGACCCCCAAGCCCUGGCUGCAGCCAGGAGAGCUCAAAGUGUCUCCUCACUGCAUAGCAGAUGGGGCAGGACAUGCUGGAGUCAACCUGCUCCAAAGCAGCUGUGGUGGAGAGGAUUGUGCACAAUGAAACCUGACCUGGACACAGAGCUGGAGACUCACCUCCUGUGAGCUGUCCUGCAUGGUGUCUUCACCAUGGGCAUGGAGAAGGACACCACCCACAUCCAGCCCAGCUUCCAUCCAUAGCAGCUUGGCUUUCCACACCGUGCUGCCUACGAGGUCCUCCGUAGAGACCUGUUAAGGCAUGGAUUGAAGAACCAGCUGUCGUCCUGCCAUGAACCCUUGCUAAUUGCCUUCAGUGGGACGUGAAUGAGAGCAGCCAGAAUAUGUGUUUGAGGUCUCACCAGUGCUUCACAGAGGACCAUCUUACCAUCCUG